CAGAAUCACCUGGAGGAGUUGUUAAAAAUGCACAUUCCUGUGCCCUGUUCCCAGUUGCUGUUUCAGUGUAUCUGAGGUGGGACUGGUAACUUGCAUUUCUAAUGAGUUCCCAGGAGUUGCUCAUGCUGCUGCUGUGGGACCACACUUUGAGAAGCACUGGUUUACUCUGAGGUACUUACACUGUGAAAUUUUAUGAUGGAGUAGUUCAGACUGUCAAACAUAUUCAUGUCAAAGCUUUUUCCAAAGAUCAGAAUAUUGUGGGUAAUGCUAGGCCUAAAGAAACAGAUCACAAAAGUCUUUCAUCAUCUCCUGAUAAACGAGAGAAGUUUAAAGAACAGAGAAAAGCAACAGUGAAUGUGAAGAAAGACAAAGAAGAUAAACCCUUAAAGACAGAAAAGCGACCCAAGCAGCCUGAUAAAGAAGGAAAGUUAAUCUGUUCUGAAAAGGGGAAAGUGUCAGAGAAAAGUCUUCCCAAGAACGAGAAGGA
rnacentral:lncRNA from 10 species